rnacentral:lncRNA from 1 species
GCACAGGGGGCCCAGUGCAUGGGGCAUUCUCUAGGGCUCACUGGCCUUGCACACCACAACCCUCUCCUGCCUGUGUGAGGGUGUCUCCCCUGGCCUCAAGCUAACCUCACAGUAAUAAGUAGACCAUAACCCUGAACCUUGAUCCAACAGCUUCACAUGGCUGACAACAGGGGGACAUGGCACAUCACCUGUGGGCAAUACUCUGCAGCGUGAAUCUGGAUGAGAGACAGAGCUAGAUUUCUGAUUGACUUAAUGUCUGCAACCCAUGUAAGUCUGGAGCACAAGUCCUGUGAGGAGCAGCUGAGGGAACUGGAGGAGUUGUUUAGUCUGGAGAAGAGGAGGCUCGGGGAGACCGUAUUACGCUCUACAACUGCCUGAAAGGAAGGUGUGGGGAGCUGGGAGUCGGCCUCUUCUCACAGGGGAGCUGUGGCCAGACUGCAUCAGGGACGGUCACCAGUACGUCUUGCCCCAGUAUGCUUCGUAUGGGCGCAGUCUGGAAGAGAGCUUGUGGGCCAGCAGGAAGGCAGAGAAUGCUAACGGAGAGUUGAAAAGACACGAGCCAGUGAUUUCUUUGUUGCUGCUGUACCAGUACAUUUUAAACACUCUUCUGUACCAAGCAACACCCCCCUGCACCCCAAACCCCAGCAAAAACAAAGACAGCCUCUUUUUUUAUUUCUUCCAAAGAAGGAAUCUGCUCAGUUCAGUUAAGUACAUUGACCUUUGGUUACAUAUAGUAACGCUGUAAACAGUGGGCCCAGCUCACAGACAAAUAACGUGAACUCACUCACUUUAAGAGAGUUAAGUUCAAGAGAAAGUUGUUUUCAAAAAAAAAAAAAAAAAAAAUCUAUGUUGCCUAUCAUUCUGCAGCAUGAAACACAGUAAUUGCUCAGUUUUGGACGUUUUAAACUAGAAUAUUAGCUUUCAAAUUGAAUCAGGACGGGUCAUCUGCUUUCCUAACAAGUGCGGAUGAGUUACAUUUUCAAAGGUAUCAAAAUGUACUGUCAUACUGGUUUGCAUCAGUCAAUAGCCCCAUGUCCUCGGUGACUUUUUAAGUAAGUAAACGUUAAUUACACAGGUAUUGCUAUGAACCAAGCCCAUUGUUUAAAGGAAGCACAAUUCUUGCCAAGUUAAAAGUCUUUACAUAAGAACGUGGUUUUGUAAUGGAUUUGAAGAGCUGCUGUGUGAGUUAUUAAAAUUGUGUCUUCCUGCUUGCACUGUGUACCAAUGCAGAAAAUGGACAAACAUGCAGUAAAAUGUAGCAUCAUUUAGAAAAUAAUAUGUAAAAAAAAUUCAGUAUCUUAUAUUAAAGCAUUUACACUGCAUAGGCAUUCAUAUAAGGAUAUAG